CCUCUACAAAACAAAGCGCUCCUUCGUAUGCCCACUUCCCCUCAAACAAUGGGAGACCUUUUACAGCUGAGAAGAACUCAAAAUCCACUUUUAUUCUUACUUUCACUAAUCCUUUAAAAACACAUCUUACCUCCUCCCCAUAUCCCGUUUCUAUCUUAUAUUUCCUACUCAGAAAAAUUGACAUCUUAGCUUGUCCCCCCAAAAAAUUUAACAGUUGACAUUUUCUUUUCUGUUGCUUACUAUAUUGAAACCCCAAAAUAAAAACAGUGUUAUUGAAAAUCUCCCCUACAGCUUUAAACAAAGACUCCAGCAUUUCCAGAAGGUGACUGUUGACCCAGGGUUUAGAGUGUUCCCUCAGCAGUAGAAGGUGACUGUUGACCCAGGGUUUAGAGUAUUCCCUCAGCAGUAGAAGGUGACUGUUGACCCAGGGUUUAGAGUGUUCCCUCAGCAGUAGGUGACUGUUGACCCAGGGUUUAGAGUGUUCCCUCAGCAGUAGAAGGUGACUGUUGACCCAGGGUUUAGAGUGUUCCCUCAGCAGUAGGUGACUGUUGACCCAGGGUUUAGAGUGUUCCCUCAGCAGUAGGUGACUGUUGACCCAGGGUUUAGAGUAUUCCCUCAGCAGUAGUAGGUGACUGUUGACCCAGGGUUUAGAGUAUUCCCUCAGCAGUAGGUGACUGUUGACCCAGGGUUUAGAGUAUUCCCUCAGCAGUAGAAGGUGACUGUUGACCCAGGGUUUAGAGUAUUCCCUCAGCAGUAGGUGACUGUUGACCCAGGGUUUAGAGUGUUCCCUCAGCAGUAGAAGGUGACUGUUGACCCAGGGUUUAGAGUAUUCCCUCAGCAGUAGAAGGUGACUGUUGACCCAGGGUUUAGAGUGUUCCCUCAGCAGUAGGUGACUGUUGACCCAGGGUUUAGAGUGUUCCCUCAGCAGUAGAAGGUGACUGUUGACCCAGGGUUUAGAGUAUUCCCUCUCAUACACUAUGGCUUUUUUUUAUGUCUCUUGCCCCAUUUACGUUUAAAGAAGAAAUCUUAAAACUGCUCAUGGGUGAUAAAAAAAUACAGAGGAAGACCCAGAAACCACAUCUCUU
rnacentral:lncRNA from 1 species